rnacentral:tRNA from 1 species
GCUCUCAUAGUUUAAUGGAUAGAAUUUAGGUUUGCGGUACCUAAGAUCCAGGUUCGAUCCCUGGUGAGAGCA